GUCCGCCUCACCGCGUGCACUGGUCCGGCCGGGCCUUUCCUUCUGGGGAGCCGCAUGCCCUUCACUGGGUGUGUCGGGGAACCAGGACCUUUACUUUGAAAAAAUUAGAGUGUUCAAAGCAGGCCUAUGCUCGAAUACAUUAGCAUGGAAUAAUAGAAUAGGACGUGUGGUUCUAUUUUGUUGGUUUCUAGGACCGCCGUAAUGAUUAAUAGGGAUAGUCGGGGGCAUCAGUAUUCAAUUGU
rnacentral:rRNA from 1 species